rnacentral:rRNA from 1 species
GUGCCAGCCGCCGCGGUAAUACGUAGGUGGCAAGCGUUAUCCGGAAUUAUUGGGCGUAAGGCGCGCGUAGGCGGUUUUUUAAGUCUGAUGUGAAAGCCCACGGCUCAACCGUGGAGGGUCAUUGGAAACUGGAAAACUUGAGUGCAGAAGAGGAAAGUGGAAUUCCAUGUGUAGCGGUGAAAUGCGCAGAGAUAUGGAGGAACACCAGUGGCGAAGGCGACUUUCUGGUCUGUAACUGACGCUGAUGUGCGAAAGCGUGGGGAUCAAA